UACGUAGGGGGCAAGCGUUGUCCGGAAUCAUUGGGCGUAAAGCGCGUGUAGGCGGCUUGGUAAGUCCGCUCUGAAAGCCCGGGGCUCAACCCCGGGAGGCGGGUGGAUACUGUCAAGCUCGAGUCCGGAAGAGGCGAGUGGAAUUCCUGGUGUAGCGGUGAAAUGCGCAGAUAUCCGAAGGAACAUCAGUGGCGAAGGCGGCUUCCUGGCCUAAGACUGACGCUGAGGUGCGAAAGCGUGGGGAGCAAACAGG
rnacentral:rRNA from 1 species